CAAAUGACUCUCGGCAACGGAUAUCUCGGCUCUCGCAUCGAUGAAGAACGUAGCGAAAUGCGAUACUUGGUGUGAAUUGCAGAAUCCCGUGAACCAUCGAGUCUUUGAACGCAAGUUGCGCCCGAAGCCACCAGGCCGAGGGCACGUCUGCCUGGGCGUCACGC
rnacentral:rRNA from 2 species